GAUGAACGCUGACGGCGUGCCUAAUACAUGCAAGUCGAGCGAACGGACGAGAAGCUUGCUUCUCUGAUGUUAGCGGCGGACGGGUGAGUAACACGUGGAUAACCUACCUAUAAGACUGGGAUAACUUCGGGAAACCGGAGCUAAUACCGGAUAAUAUUUUGAACCGCAUGGUUCAAAAGUGAAAGACGGUCUUGCUGUCACUUAUAGAUGGAUCCGCGCUGCAUUAGCUAGUUGGUAAGGUAACGGCCUACCAAGGCAACGAUGCAUAGCCGACCUGAGAGGGUGGUCGGCCACACUGGAACUGAGACACGGUCCAGACUCCUACGGGAGGCAGCAGUAGGGAAUCUUCCGCAAUGGGCGAAAGCCUGACGGAGCAACGCCGCGUGAGUGAUGAAGGUCUUCGGAUCGUAAAACUCUGUUAUUAGGGAAGAACAUAUGUGUAAGUAACUGUGCACAUCUUGACGGUACCUAAUCAGAAAGCCACGGCUAACUACGUG
rnacentral:rRNA from 1 species